rnacentral:rRNA from 1 species
AGUGAACGCUGGCGGUAGGCCUAACACAUGCAAGUCGAACGGCAGCACAGUAAGAGCUUGCUCUUACGGGUGGCGAGUGGCGGACGGGUGAGGAAUACAUCGGAAUCUACUUUUUCGUGGGGGAUAACGUAGGGAAACUUACGCUAAUACCGCAUACGACCUACGGGUGAAAGCAGGGGAUCUUCGGACCUUGCGCGAUUGAAUGAGCCGAUGUCGGAUUAGCUAGUUGGCGGGGUAAAGGCCCACCAAGGCGACGAUCCGUAGCUGGUCUGAGAGGAUGAUCGGCCACACUGGAACUGAGACACGGUCCAGACUCCUACGGGAGGCAGCAGUGGGGAAUAUUGGACAAUGGGCGCAAGCCUGAUCCAGCCAUACCGCGUGGGUGAAGAAGGCCUUCGGGUUGUAAAGCCCUUUUGUUGGGAAAGAAAAGCAGCAGGUUAAUACCCCGCUGUUCUGACGGUACCCAAUGAAUAAGCACCGGCUAACUUCGUG